AUACGGAGGAUGCGAGCGUUAUCCGGAUUUAUUGGGUUUAAAGGGUGCGUAGGUGGUAGAUUAAGUCAGCGGUGAAAGUUUGUCGCUCAACGAUAAAAUUGCCGUUGAUACUGGUUUACUUGAGUAUAGUUGAAGUAGGCGGAAUGCGUGGUGUAGCGGUGAAAUGCAUAGAUAUCACGCAGAACUCCGAUUGCGAAGGCAGCUUACUAAGUUAUAACUGACACUGAAGCACGAAAGCGUGGGUAUCAAACAGGAUUAGAUACCCUGGUAGUCCACGCAGUAAACGAUGAUUACUAACCGUCGGCGAUAGACCGCCGGUGGCCAAGCGAAAGCGAUAAGUCAUCCACCUGGGGAGUACGACCGCAAGGUUGAAACUCAAAUGAAUUGACGGGG
rnacentral:rRNA from 1 species